rnacentral:rRNA from 1 species
UACGUAGGGUGCAGGCGUUAAUCGGAAUUACUGGGCGUAAAGCGUGCGCAGGCGGUCUCUUAAGACAGGUGUGAAAUCCCCGGGCUCAACCCGGGAACUGCGUCCGAUACUGGAAGGCUUGAAUCCGGGAGAGGGAUGCGGAAUUCCAGGUGUAGCGGUGAAAUGCGUAGAUAUCUGGAGGAACACCGGCGGCGAAGGCGGCAUCCUGGACCGGCAUUGACGCUGAGGCGCGAAAGCCAGGGGAGCAAACGGG